UACGAGGGGUGCAAGCGUUGCUCGGAAUUAUUGGGCGUAAAGGGUAGGUAGGUGGUCUCGUUUGUCUGGGGUGAAAGCCUUGAGCUUAACUCAAGAAGUGCCCUAGAAACGGCGAGACUCGAGUACUGGAGAGGGUCGUGGAAUUCCCGGUGUAGCGGUGAAAUGCGUAGAGAUCGGGAGGAACACCAGAGGCGAAGGCGGCGACCUGGACAGUUACUGACACUCAACUACGAAAGCGUGGGGAGCAAACAGG
rnacentral:rRNA from 1 species